rnacentral:rRNA from 1 species
UACGGGGGAGUAAGCGUUGUUCGGAUUACUGGCGUAAAGGGCGCGUAGGCGGCCACCGCAAGUCGACUGUGAAAUCUCCGGGCUUAACCCGGAAAGGUCAGCCGAUACUGCGGGGCUAGAGUGCAGAAGGGGCAACUGGAAUUCUCGGUGUAGCGGUGAAAUGCGUAGAUAUCGAGAGGAACACCUGCGGCGAAGGCGGUCCUCUGGGCCUGUCCUGACGCUGAGGAGCGAAAGCGUGGGGANCGAAC